AGUCGUAACAAGGUCUCCGUAGGUGAACCUGCGGAGGGAUCAUUACACAAAUAUGAAGGCGGGCUGGAACCUCUCGGGGUUACAGCCUUGCUGAAUUAUUCACCCUUGUCUUUUGCGUACUUCUUGUUUCCUUGGUGGGUUCGCCCACCACUAGGACAAACAUAAACCUUUUGUAAUUGCAAUCAGCGUCAGUAACCAAAUUAAUAAUUACAACUUUCAACAACGGAUCUCUUGGUUCUGGCAUCGAUGAAGAACGCAGCGAAAUGCGAUAAGUAGUGUGAAUUGCAGAAUUCAGUGAAUCAUCGAAUCUUUGAACGCACAUUGCGCCCUUUGGUAUUCCAAAGGGCAUGCCUGUUCGAGCGUCAUUUGUACCCUCAAGCUUUGCUUGGUGUUGGGCGUCUUGUCUCUAGCUUUGCUGGAGACUCGCCUUAAAGUAAUUGGCAGCCGGCCUACUGGUUUCGGAGCGCAGCACAAGUCGCACUCUCUAUCAGCAAAGGUCUAGCAUCCAUUAAGCCUUUUUUUCAACUUUUGACCUCGGAUCAGGUAGGGAUACCCGCUGAACUUA
rnacentral:rRNA from 1 species